UACAGAGGGGGCAAGCGUUAUUCGGAAUUAUUGGGCGUAAAGGGCGCGUAGGCGGCCUGGCAAGUGGAUGGUGAAAUCCCUCGGCUUAACCGAGGAACUGCCGUCCAAACUGCUUGGCUUGAGACCGGGAGAGGUGAGUGGAAUUCCCAGUGUAGCGGUGAAAUGCGUAGAUAUUGGGAGGAACACCAGUGGCGAAGGCGGCUCACUGGACCGGAACUGACGCUGAUGCGCGAAAGCGUGGGGAGCGAACGGG
rnacentral:rRNA from 1 species